rnacentral:rRNA from 1 species
GACGAACGCUGGCGGCGUGCUUAACACAUGCAAGUCGAACGGACAGACCCUGCUUUUGUGGGUUUCUCGAGAGGCGAACGGGUGAGUGACACGUGAGUAACAUGUCCUUGACUUUGGGAUAACUUCUGGAGACUGGGGCUCAUACACGAUAGGAGCUACUGCUGCAUGGUGGGGGAUGGAGAGUUUCGGCGGUUGGGGAUGGACUCGCGGCUUAUCAGCUUGUUGGUGUGGUAGGGGUUUACCAAGGCUUUGACGGGUAGCCGGCCUGAGAGGGUGACCGGCGACAUGGGGACUGAGAGAGGGCCCAGACGCCUACGGGAGGCAGCAGUGGGGAGUAUGGCGGAGUGGGCGGAAGUGUGAUGCGGCGGCGCCGCGAGCGGGAUGCUGGGUUACGGGUGGAAAACCGCUUUCGCCGGUGAUGAGGCGGGAGUGACGGUAACGGGUAAGGAAGCACCGGCUAACUACGUG